UACAGAGGUCUCAAGCGUUGUUCGGAUUCAUUGGGCGUAAAGGGUGCGUAGGUGGCGAGGCAAGUCGGAUGUGAAAUCCCGGGGCUCAACCCCCGGAACUGCAUUCGAUACUGCUUUGCUAGAGUACUGGAGAGGAGAUUGGAAUUUACGGUGUAGCAGUGAAAUGCGUAGAUAUCGUAAGGAAGACCAGUGGCGAAGGCGGAUCUCUGGACAGUUACUGACACUGAGGCACGAAGGCCAGGGGAGCAAACGGG
rnacentral:rRNA from 1 species